GUAUUGUACAGACGAAACUGCGAAUGGCUCAUUACAUCAGUUAUAGUUUAUUUGAUAUUUGAAGUUACAUGGAUACCGUGGCAAUUCUACAGCUAAUACAUGCUUCAAAACCUGACUUCGGAAGGGUUGUAUUUAUUAGAUAUUAAACCAUCCCCUCGGGGGCUGUGAUGAAUCAUAAUAACUGAUCGAAUCGAGGUUCGCCUUGAUAAAUCAUUCAAGUUUCUGCCCUAUCAGCUGUAGAUGGUAGUGUAUUGGACUACCAUGGCUAUUACGGGUAACGGAGAAUUAGGGUUCGAUUCCGGAGAGGGAGCAUGAGAAAUGGCUACUAUUUCUAAGGAAAAGCAGCAGGCGCGUAAAAUUAUUCAAUGGGAAUAUCUUCCCGAAAUAGUGACAAAAAAAUACCGAUGUAUUAAACUUCGUUUAGUACAAUUGGAAUGGAAACAAUCCAAAAACCCUUAUUGAGUAAACAAUUAGAGGGCAAGUCUGGUGCCAGCAGCCGC
rnacentral:rRNA from 1 species